rnacentral:lncRNA from 1 species
GGACAGGAGACACACUGUUUUAUUGCCUUCAAGUCUUGCUAAGACAAGUGUUUAUAGUAACUUCUUUGCCAAAGGGCAAAAGAAAUAGAUUGCUUAGACAGAUCUUUAUUAAAAAUAACUACUAUAAUGCAGGAUGAUUAGAAGUAUAAUGGACUAUGUAGCUCCAGUGCUGCAGAGCUCAGUGGGGGCUAGCUGGUCUUUGGAGAGGAGCUGUGGAAGUGAGCAGCAUGCUGGCACAGCUAGGGUGAUCACAGUGCAAAGGCAGUGAGUGGUCAAGAGCUGGCUCUGAUACAUGUGCCACACGCUACAGCACGGGCACAACCUUAAUACAUGGCUUAAUUCUUCAGUACAUUGCCUAAUAGUUUCUGUGCCAAACACAGGAAUCCCUGAACACUAAUAACACUACACAGACCAGAAUGACACCUCAUGUAUCCCAUGUUUGCAUCCCGUACAAAGUUACAGUUUAGCUAAACAAUUAGUAGUGUUUCCUAGACCAGUGACUACUGGUUUUAGUCAUCCUGCACUGCAAGACAGGUGGAGCACGCUGGGGUGGAAGUUUAAAAACCGAAACAUAGCCCCAUGUGCAGUCUCCACAACCAUGAUUAAAAACCCAGAAAUCAACUAGAGGUAACAAGAGCUACUCUCCACAACUUGCCACUUUUCUGGUUUUAAAGCACAGAUCUGAGUACAGAAGCUUGCACAAUAGUCUGACUCACGCACUGCAGAGGUAAAAAGCUCUGUGCCAUCUCAGUAAUUUAAUUGGGGUAAGUGCUUGCAGCCUUCCAGGAAACAUGAUUUCCCCAUCCCCUUUUUUUAAAACCAUUUUUUUCUAUUACAAAUUAACAAUGGAAAACCUGCCUGUGCAGCUUUGUGAAGUGCUGGCUUGUUGUCCAAAGGAUUGGCAACCGCUUCCCAUGAUGAUUUUCUCCUUUAUGAUCUGCUGGUAAUCUUUGUAACACCAGUGGCGGAAAAGAACCCAAUCUGAUUACAAGUGAUUACAAGUACUGAUACUGACCGGCUGUUUUGGAGAGUAGGAGAGUAAUAUACCAUGUUUAAACUGCCUGUCAGCACACAGACGUGACCUGCUGCUUGAAUUCAUGUGGGGCUGUUAACACCAAUCAUUCUGUUUUCUUACUCACACUGAAGUGAGUUUUGCUGUCUUUAUGAUGCAAAGAUGGUAUAGCCAGUGUUGCAAAGUAAGAAGUCCAAAAUAACUUUUAUUAAGA